GGAUUCUAACUCAUGAAACAAACAGACAAUGGCUACAAGUUAUCUUUCUCUGAGAAUGAAAAAAUAAUUUUGCUUUGUGAAAUACUAGGUCAAACCACCUAAUAAUACUACUUGGAGGGAUCAAAUAAGCUGGAAAUUAGCCUGAAGGAAAGAGAGCCCUGAUGGCUUCAGAGCUCAAAGAUUACAGUCAUCAAAUGCUGCCACAUCCUCCAGGGACCUCCCAGCUCGUUCACUACUGUGUAUAAUGGUGAAUGGCACUAAUUCUCCUCAGGGAGCAAUAGAAGAUUCCGGGGCAUUGCAGUAUGGGACACCUUUGGGAAAUGUGUCAAGGAGUAGAGAGUCUUAUCUAUUUGAUGCUACUAAAUUUGAUACAAAUAUUUCCUCUCUCCAAAUCCCCCCUUUCUCUUCCUAAAAUAAGUGCUUCUUCCGACUUCUAUCCAUCUCAGAUCCUCACUUUCCCUACUACCUCUCAGGGUCUGUCUUCUUUUGCACAUUGUGGAGGAGUCUUAGCCUAUCUGUUAUCUAUGCCCAUGCUCCCUCUACAUUCCUUAUUCAAACCCAAAACUCAUCUCUCCUUUGCCUUUCUCAUGUCAUUUGAGGUCCACACUCAUACACACAGCUACCCAGUCACUUACUCUACAGAGCUGAUUGGUAGCUGUAUUUACACCUUACUCAGAGAGCAAGGUUUUUACU
rnacentral:lncRNA from 1 species